CCCCUUUAUUUGUGUCAGUGCAAAAACUCAUCCCUAGGGCAUUUGUUUGGAUCACAUGGGCGAGCAUAUAAAAAUGGGUCCUACCUGUCCAGGCCAGUUAGCACCUCGGGAAAGCGAAGGCAGCUGCUGGACCGGAGGGGAGAGCCACGGGACGGUGCAGAGCCGGUGCACGCAGAGUCGGCCAAGAGAAAGAGAUGGAAACCCAAGGGAAAGGCAACCCCGCUGGGAAGAUGACUGCCAUGGCUCACAGCCUGUUUGGAGCUCUUGGCCUGGGAGCGAGGGGGAUUACGGAGCCGGGCAGCCCUUUGGGACAAGUUCAAGAGGUUUAAAUCGGCGAGAGCCAUGGGAGCAGGGAGUAAACGGCCUUUUAAUUACAGCCCUGCCAGAGGCAGCGGCGCNGGCAGCUGAGACUUGGGUUUCUCCUCCUACGGAGCAGAGGGGCUGCGAGUCACGGCCACCAGCUCCGUAGAUGCUCCCGAGCCCCUUCCCUUGCCUCGUGCCCUCUCCA
rnacentral:lncRNA from 1 species